rnacentral:rRNA from 1 species
AUUGAACGCUGGCGGCAUGCCUUACACAUGCAAGUCGAACGGCAGCACGGGAGCAAUCCUGGUGGCGAGUGGCGAACGGGUGAGUAAUAUAUCGGAACGUGCCCAGUCGUGGGGGAUAACGCAGCGAAAGCUGUGCUAAUACCGCAUACGAUCUACGGAUGAAAGCGGGGGAUCGCAAGACCUCGCGCGAUUGGAGCGGCCGAUAUCAGAUUAGCUAGUUGGUGGGAUAAAAGCUUACCAAGCCGACGAUCUGUAGCUGGUCUGAGAGGACGAUCAGCCACACUGGGAAUGAGACACGGCCCAGACUCCUACGGGAGGCAGCAGUGGGGAAUUUUGGACAAUGGGCGCAAGCCUGAUCCAGCAAUGCCGCGUGCAGGAUGAAGGCCUUCGGGUUGUAAACUGCUUUUGUACGGAACGAAAAGCCCUGGGUUAAUACCCUGGGGUCAUGACGGUACCGUAAGAAUAAGCACCGGCUAACUACGUGCCAGCCGCCGCAGUAACAC